CAGUCGCCGCGGUAAUACGUAGGGUGCGAGCGUUAAUCGGAAUUACUGGGCGUAAAGCGUGCGCAGGCGGUUGUGUAAGGCAGGUGUGAAAUCCCCGGGCUUAACCUGGGAACUGCGCUUGUGACUGCACAGCUAGAGUAUGGCAGAGGGGGGUAGAAUUCCACGUGUAGCAGUGAAAUGCGUAGAGAUGUGGAGGAACACCGAUGGCGAAGGCAGCCCCCUGGGCCAAUACUGACGCUCAUGCACGAAAGCGUGGGGAGCAAACAGGAUUAGAUACCCGAGUAGUCCCUGUCUCUUAUAC
rnacentral:rRNA from 1 species